rnacentral:rRNA from 1 species
GGGGAAGAUUUAAUAAUAAUAAAUUAAUAAUAAAAAAAUUUUUAAAAUAUAUUUUAAUGGGGGUUAAAGUAAUUUUAAAAAAAAAUUUAUAAAUUUAUAGUUAAGUAGUAUUGUAUAAGAAUGUUGAAAUAAUUGAAAAUUUAAUUAUAAUUAAAGUAAAUUUAAUUUAUUGUAUCUUGUGUAUCAGAGUUUAUUAAUAAAAAUUUUUAAGUAGAUAAAUCUCGAAUUUUAAAAGAGAUAAUUAAUUAAAAAAGUUAUUGUUUCAUAAAUAUUUUAAAUAAUUAAUUUGAAAUGAAAUGUUAAUCGUUUUUAAAGAUAUCUAGUUUUUUUAGAAAUAAAUUUAAUUUAGAAUUUUUUUUUUAAGAUAUUUAAUUUUUAAAUUAAAUAUCUUAAAAAAAAUUUAAUAUUUUAGGGGAUAAUCUUUAAAUUAAAUUUUUAUAAUUAUAUAAAAUGAAAAUUAAAAUUUUUAAAAUUUAUAUUGUUUAUAAAUUAUAUAUUUUUAUAAAAAAUUUUAUUAAUAAAAAAAUUUUUAAAAUAAAAAUUUAAUUUUUUAUAAAAAAAUAAUUUUAUUAAAAAAAAAAUUAGUUAUAAUGAUAAAAUUAGUAUAUAAAUAAAUAUAUAUAUAUAUAUAUAUAUAAAUAAUUAAUUAAAAGGAAUUCGGCAAAUAUUAAUAUUCACUUGUUUAUCAAAAACAUGUCUUUUUGUUAAAAAUUUAAAGUCUAAUCUGCCCACUGAUAUUAAUUAAAGGGCUGCAGUAUAUUGACUGUACAAAGGUAGCAUAAUCAUUAGUCUUUUAAUUGAAAACUUGUAUGAAAGAAUUUGAUGAAAUAUUAACUGUCUCUUAAUUAAAAUUAAAAUUUAAUUUUUUAGUAAAAAAGCUAAAAUAUAUUUAAAAGACGAGAAGACCCUAUAGAGUUUUAUUAUUAAUUUAUUUUUAAUAUUAAAUAAAUUUUUUUUUUUAUAAAUAUAAAUUAAUAAUUUUAUUGGGGUGAUAAAAAAAUUAAAUAAACUUUUUUAAAUAAUUAAAACAUUAAUGUAUGAAUUUUUGAUCCAUAAUUUAUGAUUAAUAGAAAAAAUUACCUUAGGGAUAACAGCGUAAUUUUUUUUUUUAGUUCAAAUAAAAAAAAAAGUUUGCGACCUCGAUGUUGGAUUAAGAUAAAAUUUAAAUGUAGAAAUUUAAAAUUUUGAUCUGUUCGAUCAUUAAAAUCUUACAUGAUCUGAGUUCAAACCGGUGUAAGCCAGGUUGGUUUCUAUCUUUAAAAAAUUAGAAUAUUUUAGUACGAAAGGAUUAAAUAUUUAAAAUAAUUUUAAAUUAAAAGAAUAUUAUUAAAUUAUAAUAAAAAUUAAUAAAUUAAAUUU